rnacentral:rRNA from 1 species
GACAGAGGGUGCAAACGUUGUUCGGAAUUACUGGGCGUAAAGCGUGCGCAGGCGGUUUGCCAAGACAGAUGUAAAAGCCCCGGGCUCAACCUGGGAAUGGCAUUUGUGACUGGCAGGCUAGAGUGUGUCAGAGGGGGGUAGAAUUCCACGUGUAGCAGUGAAAUGCGUAGAGAUGUGGAGGAAUACCGAUGGCGAAGGCAGCCCCCUGGGAUAACACUGACGCUCAUGCACGAAAGCGUGGGGAGCAAACAGG